GACGAACGCUGGCGGCGUGCCUAAUACAUGCAAGUCGAGCGGACUGAUGGGGAGCUUGCUCCCCUGACGUCAGCGGCGGACGGGUGAGUAACACGUGGGCAACCUGCCUCACAGAUUGGGAUAACUCCGGGAAACCGGGGCUAAUACCGAAUAAUCAAAGGAACCGCAUGGUUCCCUUGUAAAAGUUGGGUUUUACCUAACACUGUGAGAUGGGCCCGCGGCGCAUUAGCUAGUUGGUGAGGUAGUGGCUCACCAAGGCGACGAUGCGUAGCCGACCUGAGAGGGUGAUCGGCCACACUGGGACUGAGACACGGCCCAGACUCCUACGGGAGGCAGCAGUAGGGAAUCAUCCGCAAUGGACGAAAGUCUGACGGUGCAACGCCGCGUGAGUGAUGACGGUCUUCGGAUUGUAAAGCUCUGUUGUUAGGGAAGAACAAGUGCCGUUCAAAUAGGGCGGCACCUUGACGGUACCUAACCAGAAAGCCCCGGCUAACUACGUGCCAGCAGCCGCGGUAAUACGUAGGGGGCAAGCGUUGUCCGGAAUUAUUGGGCGUAAAGCGCGCGCAGGCGGUUCCUUAAGUCUGAUGUGAAAGCCCACGGCUCAACCGUGGAGGGUCAUUGGAAACUGGGGAACUUGAGUGUAGGAGAGGAAAGUGGAAUUCCAAGUGUAGCGGUGAAAUGCGUAGAUAUUUGGAGGAACACCAGUGGCGAAGGCGAC
rnacentral:rRNA from 1 species